GGAUAUCAAAGGCCACGGUUUCGUCUCCCAUUCAAGCUUGUCUUGUUCUCCAUUCUGUUAGUUGAACAAGCUCAGAAGAAGUUGGGCUUUUCUGGCGCCUCCACCUCACAUCUUACUCCUGCAAUUGUUUACACUCUAUCGUGUACAAGGACUUUUGAUUGCUCUAAAGCUCAAAGGAAUAUCGGGUACUUGCCAGAUGUGUCCCUGCAGGAUGGUGUCACAUUAACA
rnacentral:misc_RNA from 1 species